UACAGAGGGUGCGAGCGUUGUCCGGAAUCACUGGGCGUAAAGGGCGCGUAGGUGGCGGCCCAAGUCUGUGGUGAAAGCUCGAUGCUUAACAUCGAGUCGGCCACGGAGACUGGGUGGCUCGAGCACUGUAGGGGCAGAUGGAAUUCCGGGUGUAGCGGUGGAAUGCGUAGAGAUCCGGAAGAACACCGGUGGCGAAGGCGGUCUGCUGGGCAGUUGCUGACACUGAGGCGCGAAAGCGUGGGGAGCGAUCCGG
rnacentral:rRNA from 1 species